GAGCGUCCUCAAGCUGACUUCCCCCUAUGGUUGCAAGAUGAUGGUCAGCAGUGACUGCGGCAAUAAGCUUUCUUGUUUAUGUCCACAGGAAGGAAAAGAAAACCUCUCCUUCACCCAUGAAAUAAGGCAUUCCCUGAAGUCUGAUUAGGCCAAAUUGGAUCAUAUGCCCAUCCCUAGACCAGCCCUGGGAAUACCAGCUACUGAUGGUUUAGGCCUAUGUUCCUAAAUUAGUUACUAUCAGAUGGUGGUGAUGGGCUGUUCACAUGGAGGAGAAGAAAAUUGAAAGAAGAGUGGGAAAUAGAGCUGGAACCUUCACCACAGCACUUCUGGCUCAUCCUACCUCUCAAAGGCUCAUUAGCUCUUGGCUUAUUCAGUGGCAAAGCAAGAAGAGGUGGCACUGAGGCAUCUUGAUCCUGAAGGAUCUUUUAAUUCACCUGAGCAGUCUUAACAUUUUUUCUAUCAGCCCCUGCUAUAGUUUGAAUGUGUGUGUUCUCUUUAAAAUUCGUGUUGGAACUUGAUCUCCAAUGUGACAGAGGUAAGAGGUAGGGCCUUAUAUUUGAGAGCACAACAGGGUGAGUACACUCAAUAACAAUGUAUUGUAUAUUUAAAAUAACUGAAAAAGUAUACUUGAAAUGUUCCUAACACAAAGAAAUGAUAAAUGCUUGAGGUGAUGGAUACCCCAAUUACCCCUAUGUGAUUAUUACAUAUUAUAUAUCUGUACCAAAACAUCACACAUACCCCCACGUAAAUGUAUGUACUUACUACAUAGCCAUAAAAAAAAGAUGUGGGACCUUUAGGAGAUGAUUAAGUCAUCAGGGCUCUGCCCUCAUGGGAUUUGUGACCUUGUAAACAAGCUGGAGAGAAUGCUAGGCCCCUUUUUUGCCCUCUGCCCUUCUACCAUGUGAGGACACAGCAUUCGUCGACUCUGAAGGAUGCAGCAACAAGGCAUCAUCUUGUGGCAGAGACCAGGGCUGUUACCAGACACCAAACCUGCUGGCAACUUCAUGGUGGACUUCCUAGUCGCAGAACUGUGAGAAAUAAAUGUCUGUUCUUUUUAAAUUAACCA
rnacentral:lncRNA from 1 species